GACGAACGCUGGCGGCGUGCUUAACACAUGCAAGUCGAGCGGUAAGGCCCUUUCGGGGGUACACGAGCGGCGAACGGGUGAGUAACACGUGGGUGACCUGCCCUUAGCUCUGGGAUAAGCCUGGGAAACUGGGUCUAAUACCGGAUAUGACUCCAUAACGCAUGUUGUGGGGUGGAAAGCCUUGUGCGGCUAGGGAUGGGCCCGCGGCCUAUCAGCUUGUUGGUGGGGUGAUGGCCUACCAAGGCGACGACGGGUAGCCGGCCUGAGAGGGCGACCGGCCACACUGGGACUGAGACACGGCCCAGACUCCUACGGGAGGCAGCAGUGGGGAAUCUUGCGCAAUGGGCGAAAGCCUGACGCAGCGACGCCGCGUGGGGAG
rnacentral:rRNA from 1 species